GCUAGUGUGGUGUAGUGGUUUGAGCUCCAACUACGACUCUGGAGAUCGGGGUUCAAUUCCCCACUUGAGCA